rnacentral:rRNA from 2 species
AGAGUUUGAUCCUGGCUCAGGAUGAACGCUAGCGACAGGCUUAACACAUGCAAGUCGAGGGGCAGCAUGAUUUGUAGCAAUACAGAUUGAUGGCGACCGGCGCACGGGUGAGUAACGCGUAUGCAACUUACCUAUCAGAGGGGGAUAGCCCGGCGAAAGUCGGAUUAAUACCCCAUAAAACAGGGGUCCCGCAUGGGAAUAUUUGUUAAAGAUUCAUCGCUGAUAGAUAGGCAUGCGUUCCAUUAGGCAGUUGGCGGGGUAACGGCCCACCAAACCGACGAUGGAUAGGGGUUCUGAGAGGAAGGUCCCCCACAUUGGUACUGAGACACGGACCAAACUCCUACGGGAGGCAGCAGUGAGGAAUAUUGGUCAAUGGCCGAGAGGCUGAACCAGCCAAGUCGCGUGAAGGAAGAAGGAUCUAUGGUUUGUAAACUUCUUUUAUAGGGGAAUAAAGUGGAGGACGUGUCCUUUUUUGUAUGUACCCUAUGAAUAAGCAUCGGCUAACUCCGUGCCAGCAGCCGCGGUAAUACGGAGGAUGCGAGCGUUAUCCGGAUUUAUUGGGUUUAAAGGGUGCGUAGGUGGUGAUUUAAGUCAGCGGUGAAAGUUUGUGGCUCAACCAUAAAAUUGCCGUUGAAACUGGGUUACUUGAGUGUGUUUGAGGUAGGCGGAAUGCGUGGUGUAGCGGUGAAAUGCAUAGAUAUCACGCAGAACUCCGAUUGCGAAGGCAGCUUACUAAACCAUAACUGACACUGAAGCACGAAAGCGUGGGGAUCAAACAGGAUUAGAUACCCUGGUAGUCCACGCAGUAAACGAUGAUUACUAGGAGUUUGCGAUACAAUGUAAGCUCUACAGCGAAAGCGUUAAGUAAUCCACCUGGGGAGUACGCCGGCAACGGUGAAACUCAAAGGAAUUGACGGGGGCC